UUUUACCGACUUUUGGGUAUUCGACAAUUUUAGAUGAUGACGUUAGUUUUUACCUAAAAUUGAAUAAUUCUCGACUUUGUCAAAAAAGAGUUUGUUUCUGCAGUCUUUCUGUUGUGCAGCUCCAAUGAACCUCCUCAAAUUGCCACUUCCUGGUCCUGCUGCUGCAUUCAUCGGAAUAAUUUACGAUUGCAAAUUGACGGAAUCCGGAGAAUGGUUUUCUGGCAUCAUAUUCCUAUUGGAACAUUACGGCAGCAGAUAAACAUUUCCACAUAUUUACUAUGAGGGGUUUCAACAAAUUGGCCUUUCAAGCACGCGAAUAUCUUGCUGUGAACACAAAUUCACUAAAUGGAAAUGGAAAGUCUUGAAAUUUUUCCACCCGGAAAACUUUUUGACCGGAUCACCUCCAAUAAGAUAACUCUGAUUCAACAUUUGGAUGACACAACAGUUAGUUCGCAGCCACAUUCCUUCAUCCUCGGCUGCGCAGCAUGCUCGCCAAGUUUGUUUGCAUAUUGUCUAUCCACAUGGCUCGCUGCGUCUCUCGUUAUCUUGCACCACCCAGAUCUAUCUGAUGCGAAUACCUAUAUGCAGGAUUGGUUCGUACAUGAUUCUUUCAGCAUGCGAACUCGUCGUUCAUCUUUCAUUGGCACACUGUUCCCGAAUACUACACUACAAAAAAAUCAAUAAUUUUCUACAUGUGGAACGACACAUAAAAUAACUAGAAAACCUUCUGUAUACAUUCUAUGAGCACUUUAUGAAUUACAAAACAGUACAGAUACAUUGAAUAAUCAUAACUUAUCCCGAACACUUGCGUCCUUCUUAAAAAAUAUAUGUGAAGACUAAUGGUUAAAAACCAUAACAUCUCACACAUAAAUUUGAAAAUGUUCAAACAUGCGAUUGAUAUUGAUACGAUCCAUGAGAAGUGUCAGCAGAAAAAGAAAAAAUGGAGACGAAACGCGUGCUGAAUCAUUCGGAGCAUCGAGCAAUUGGAUUUGUGAAGAUGCGGCGUAAAAGCUAAAUGGACCAAGAAAUCUCCUCGGGAUGAUCGGUUCGUAAUACUGGGGCUUUUAGGAAUCACGACGCAAAGAAAAUGGAGGGCACCGAACAGUUAGCUCAAAUAGUACAUCUGUUUGGAUGCCGAUGUCUACCUUCCCGAACCGUAGGUUGAGCAGGUUUAGUCCGAGGACAAUUCCGCAAAAAUUGAGGCGAAACCUCGGGCGAAACACCGUAUAGAAAGUGACUAUCAAGUUGAAUCCGCUAGUUUUUCUCCAUUUCGUCUUCGAGGCCUUUUUCAAAACGUAAACAAGUGACAUUCUCUUUGAUUUUGGCAAGGGCAGCGCUAUAAUGAACAACACGUCAAUAAUCAGCCCCGAGACGGAUGCCACUCAACCACAAAGAGAGCUUAAUGAUUUUCCCCACAAUCCGAGAUUUGUCAACUUUAUGUGCAUACAACUGGACGUUAUUCAUAUAGUGAUACUUCCGUUUUUCCUCGUCCGGAUCGUUACUGCAAUCAGCAGGAAGAAAAGGAUCUUCAUCUCGCGAGCAUUCAACGCGUAGUGAUCUGUCUGGGUGUACAUAUAUGUCCAUAAAUCAUGGGCGCUCGCUCCGCCACGAUGUAUAACAUGCACAUCAGAAUAUUGACCCACUAGUAGGGCUUCACCAGCAGGACCAAAUCCAUCAUGAAUGAAAAUACAAUGUGAACAACUAGACAGAGUCGCAGGAAGCGGUACAGAUCAUCGCUGAAAAUUGACCAGUGUGCGGUUACUAUUAGCUGUGGUCGACGUAAGUUUUCGCAUUUUUGUGUACUUUGUAUACUCUCGCACUCUUUCUGUGGAACAGCAGUUAAAGUUGCAUACUGUUAUCAGUGCUGAUAGACCACAACCACAAAUGUUCAAUACUGCAUAUGUCCUCAUCAGUUUUGUAAUACGAUGUAAUAAAUUA